ACCUAUGAAAAAUGAAACUCUCCUUCAUAGUUGAGUCAAAGCUAUACCAAGAUAUCUCUUAAUUCGUGCGCAGAAAACUACCCUAGAGAAAAUUGCCCCUGGAAAAGAUUGUCAUGAAGGAAAAUUGCCCAAAAAACGGAAAUUUUGUCUUUCAAUACCGAGAAUAAGAAGAGAAAAAGAAUCACAAAAAAGAAAAGAUAAUGGAUGAUUGAUAACUGCCCAAUGUUAGCCUUCUGCUUCUAAAAAUGAGGCAUAUUGUUCUAAAAUAUAAUAAUGUAAAAAUGUUAAAAAUAAGUGAGGCCAACAGAUUAGAUCCUGUUGGCAUAAAUUAUGCAUUUAUUUGACAAAUUUAUCAUUUAUAUCAUUAUCACUUGGUCAAAUUGCUGAACUAAAUUCAGAAUCUAAAAUUUGUUGUCGGUUCUAUUUCAAUGAAGUAUUAGUUUUAAGAUACUUGAA
rnacentral:lncRNA from 1 species